GGCCCGGGAUGUUUUCCUGGGAUCCCAACUCCGGGCCGCACGACAGAAACGCGUCCACGCCCCGAAACCCCCGGCUUUUAAACUCCACUGAAGCUUCUUCAGGACCCUCAGAUGAGGAGGGAGGUGCCACCAGCCAAGCCAAACAUCCUGUACUCCCGAGAUAAAAGGGCAGCCCUCAAACGAGCCGCGGAACGCCGGAGCUCUCCUGAGCCGAGUGACUUCACCUGCAGCGGCCUCUGGGACAGGGAAGGUCAGGACUUGCUCCUUCAACAAACACAAACUUCCAGAAAAGUUAGAAAACUCGUUUAGAUGGAAGACAUGAAGAAAUCUGCCUUUCUUCUAGGGGACCUGGCAAGAGGUGGGGUGGGCUAGUGGAAACCAAAGGUGACAUGAACUUGGACUCAGACCCUUCAGGGCUCAGUGAAGAGCUGGCUACAGAGGAAGGAAAGAAAAUGAGCGUCUUUUUUUGUGAGUGUGACCUGAGCCAAUGGCAAAACUUUCGAGGAGCAGGGCCAGCCAGGCCAUCAUGCCUCAAACCUGGGUGAGACACUCAGAGCCCUGAGUCACCUUCCCUGGAGAAAGGACAGCUUGCAGAAAAAGUCACUUUGGGUGCUCCCUUCAUUUAUAUGCACACAUUAUUAUUCCACUAAACUCAAA